ensembl:lncRNA
GUACCGUUGAUGCCUAGCAGGAGUCUUGGGCACUCAGUUCUGUCUGACUCUUUGCAACCCCAUGGACGGUAUCCCCCCAGGCUCCUCUGUCCAUGGGAUUCUCCAGGCAAGAAUACUGGAAUGGCCACGUUGACUCUUUAAGGACCAAAGGCCAGCUUAGUGGAAAAGUAUUCUAAUGAAAUCCACAGGCAGCAGUUAUACCAGCCCCAGGAUACAUAAGCAUCAGCAAGAGAAGUGAUUGUCAGAUGACCCUCCUACUACUGUAUUUGGAGUUAAGUUUCCUCGAGGGAUGAAUGGGCAGCAAAGUCUUUGCAGCUCCAGAAUCAGCUCCAGGGUCACUCCCUCCAGGAAGCUCUCCCAGAUGGGCCUCUCCCACUGAACCAGAGGACCCUCUUCACACCUCCAGGACGUCUGCUGAUGGUUCCUACUGUGUGACACUGUGACGCAGAUAUGCGGGCUUGACUUCCUCGGCAGACUGAGACCUCCCUCAGGGGAGGACCUGGGGCUCAACAUUUCCAUAGCCCAGUGCUUAGCCCAGAGUCCAACACAUCCAAAAGGUGCUUGGCGAACAGUAAUGCGAUAUCCAUAAGGGCUGUCCAUCACUAGUGCAGCGUCUUAGCUCAAUUAAGACUGUACCCCUUCAUCCGCCAACAGUGACUGAUGACCUGCCGGUGACAAGAAUACCAAUGCCUGGGAGGAAUACCAAACAUACAUGAUUUGAUGGAAACUCACAGCCAACCUUUACGAAGUGUAUGUUCACUCAGAUUUUACAGGUACAUAAACUGACACUCCAGACGACGUUAUCUAACUUAAGUCACACAGCCAGUAAAUGACAAAGCUCAGAUUUAAUCCCAGGUAUGUUUGACUUGAAAACCUGUUUUUUGUUUUUUGGAUUUUUUAAAUCUUAAUGCUAUUCAAAGAAUAAGCUUUCUACAUGUGUUAUC